GAAAGUUAUUCUUUAUAUAUAGAGAAUAAUGAUGUUAAACAUUGAUCAUAUGCAGCUGGUCAAUCAUGUUAUCUUAGACUGUCUGGAAAGAGGCUGAGCUCUGUCUAUAUUUAAUUACUACAUCAAGGAUGUUGGUCAAAUCUGUGACGUCAAACUCCCGCCAAAUGCCAAGUUAGUGUUGGACAGUUCACAUAUAAUGCAAAAUUUACAGCAUUAGAGCAUCAAAGACACAAAGUGUAUGGUUCUAUGGAUAUAGUUAUGGUAUCAGAACACUCCUGGGGUGUUCCCAGUGGAAUUUUUGUAUAUAUAUUGUCUUUAUAGGGGUUCUAAGGGGGAAAUUCAGUUUUUAGGUCAUUUCUCAGAACAAUUUUUCAUGAGAAUUGUAAGGAAAAAAUGAAAAUAGAAACUUAAUGAUUACCCCCUUUUGCCUGACUUUGAUAUAUAUGAUUAAAGGGUGUAUUUUCUACAAUACCAUGUCCCAGUUUUUGGAUAAUUUGUUUCUAAAUGAAUUUAUAGGUCUUCAAAGAUGAAAGGUAAAAUGAGGUUUGGAACCCAGCAGUUAAAUCAAUAUAUCGUCUUACUGGAGGCAUAUAUCAAAAAUCUAAGACACGGUUUUGUUGAUUG
rnacentral:lncRNA from 1 species